CAUUUUUUUCCAUUUUAGAACCUGUUAUCUAGUUGUCAUUGCUUUUAAGAACUAGAUAUGUGAACUUCAAAUUUUUUUUGUUUCUGUCUUUGUGGUGUAAAUGCCUGAAGUAACUAGGAAAAUAAAACUAACAUUCACACUUUUAAGGAAAAGGUACAGCAUUGAAGAGGCUUUCAGGGUAGGGCAUAACUGCAUUCCCUAGGCUCCCAACCUUAGAUGCUAUCGCGCUGGGGAAACUUGGUGUGCUAGCUCUAAGGAACACCACGGAGCGUGGAGUGGAGUGGAGACACCACAGCUAGGCUCUGUAAUCAGGUGGGGCCUCGAUUGUUCUUGUGCACAAAGCUGCACUUUUUGCCACCCUAAGCCAAAGACCUGUCAUGUUUUGACAAAUGCUGUACCCUAGUGUACUUUUUGCUCAUUAUAAUAUCAUUAUAAUACCAAAACACACCUCCAUCCCAAAAGCUACCCGCCUCCAAGGUGCGACCACCCCUCACUGAGCAUGCGCUCUGAAUUUCUCAGAGCCUAUUACUUUAAACGGAGACGGGAAAACUUUACACCAAUCAUAACUAAGAUAUGCUUGACUAGAACCACUCAAGCUCCACCUAAAAGAUAGAAAAUAAUAUAAAUUGACCCAAGAGAGAGGGGAUGUUAGGGAAGAUACCAUCGUCAGGGGAGAUACCAUCCCGAGGACAUACAACAUCCUUAGGACCUCCUGACUCCUGGGAUCAGUCGACGGGCUGAGCCUCUCUUCCCCCCCAUUGGGACGCCUUUGGGUGAGCACCUGUAACACCUAUAACACCUAUAACAUCUGUAACACUUAUAACAUCUAUAACAUCUGUAACAUCUAUAACAUCUAUAACAUCUGUAACAUCUGUAACACCUACAACACCUGUAUAACAUCUGUAACACCUAUAACACCUGUGUAUUUCAUGCAUACUAGCUUGCUUUUGCAGAUAGUCACUAUCACCGGCAAUCCAAAAGAACCUGAUUAUCUGUUGCUGUAAUAAACCAUACUUGAUUGCAUUGUGAUAGCUCUCAUUAAUGCAACUAGGGUGAGGGUGGUUAUCCGUGAUAGUUCAGUGUUGUGAAUCUAACCAGACCCCCAGACGGUUAAUGCAUUUUUGGUGAAUGUCUGAACGGACCCCCAGGUGGUUAAUACGUUUUUGGUGAAUGUCUGAGCGGACCCCCAGGCGGUUAUUACGUUUUUGGUGAAUGUCCGAACGGACCCCCAGACCGUUAAUGCGUUUUUGGUGAAUGUCUGAGUGGACCCCCAGGCGGUUAAUGUGUUUUUGGUGAAUGUCCGACUGGUUCAGUACUCUGAAUCCAACCGGGCCCGUAACGGUUAAUCAGCUACACCCCUUUAAUGCGACAGUCUUCUAUGAAAUAUAAGUUACUUUCUUGUGCAGAACAGGGCUGUAAAAAUAAAUAAAUAAAUAAAUAAAAAGUGUCA
rnacentral:lncRNA from 1 species